UACGUAGGGUGCAAGCGUUGUCCGGAAUUAUUGGGCGUAAAGAGCUCGUAGGCGGUCUGUCGCGUCUGCUGUGAAAACUCAGGGCUUAACCCUGAGCUUGCAGUGGGUACGGGCAGACUAGAGUGCGGUAGGGGAGACUGGAAUUCCUGGUGUAGCGGUGAAAUGCGCAGAUAGUCAGGAGGAACACCGGUGGCGAAGGCGGGUCUCUGGGCCGUAACUGA
rnacentral:rRNA from 1 species